rnacentral:tRNA from 1 species
GCCGGGGUGGCGGAACUGGUAGACGCACUACUUUGAGGUGGUAGCGGGUGCAAACUCGUGCAGGUUCUCCUGUCCUGCAAAGCCGGCU